rnacentral:pre_miRNA from 1 species
AGUAUGAUUGCUGGAUGAUAUGGUAAGAAUAUGUUUAGUUUUAUAAGAAACUGCCAAACUGUCUUCCAAAGUGGCUGUGCCAUUUUGCAGCUCCACCAGCAAU